rnacentral:rRNA from 1 species
UGGUGGAGUGAUUUGUCUGGUUAAUUCCGUUAACGAACGAGACCUCGACCUGCUAACUAGUACUGUCUACUCUUCGGGGUAGAUAUGCGACUUCUUAGAGGGACUAUCGGUGUUUAGCCGAAGGAAGUUCGAGGCAAUAACA